GUAGAAACGGAGAGAUUUCUUGCUGGGACACAGUCCAAACCAAGGAAUGCUCAAUGUGUGAGACACAGAGCUUGGACGGAACAAAAACAACACACGAACAUUUGUCCGAAUGGUACAUGAUGACGGAUGCCGGAUGUGAAGAGUGUGUGUGCAACAGGAAAAAGAUCGAAUGUUUGGUGAUGCCACAAGAAAGAUCACGUGGUCACGUGGAGUGUGCUAACCAUGGCAACUAACUGAUCACGUGGCGUAAUCACAUUAUCACAUGGAGUGGGCUUACCAGGGCAACUAACUAUAGUGUAAUCAUUGUAUGAACUUGGCACCUAGGCAGGAU